rnacentral:rRNA from 1 species
CAGUCGCCGCGGUAAAACGUAGGGUGCAAGCGUUAAUCGGAAUUACUGGGCGUAAAGCGUGCGCAGGCGGUUAUAUAAGACAGAUGUGAAAUCCCCGGGCUCAACCUGGGAACUGCAUUUGUGACUGUAUAGCUAGAGUACGGCAGAGGGGGAUGGAAUUCCGCGUGUAGCAGUGAAAUGCGUAGAUAUGCGGAGGAACACCGAUGGCGAAGGCAAUCCCCUGGGCCUGUACUGACGCUCAUACACGAAAGCGUGGGGAGCAAACAGGAUUAGAUACCCGUGUAGUCCCUGUCUCUUAUAC